CCAACUUCUCUCUCUCUCACGCGUCCGAAGCCGACCGGAAAUCGCACCUUUCGUUCUCCAAGCCAUAUCUUCCUCCUCCGGCCACCAAUCUUCACCAAACUUCUUCCAUUGGCUUCGUAUGGUCCUUGUGCACCCGUCUGUGGUGACCUUGAACGGCGGCGCGACCUAUAGCGGCGGCGGCAAGCUCGUUCCGAUUUGAGUUCGAUUUUAGUCAACGCCGGUUUUCUCCUAGCUCCAGCCACCAAAACUUCCUAUCCUUAGCUCUAUGAACUCGCCUCAACCUGCUGAUCAUCAUACCAGAAGGAUCGCACCUUGAGUGACCGGAUUCACGUUCGUCGGAGCUCGACCGGUUUUCGAUCGAAAACCAAAAGCUUUCGAUCGUGAUAUCUCGAGUUGUAGUGCAUCGUUUUGAUUUAUUUUUGAACCAGUGAGUUCGUCUUGAUGUUAUUAACAACUCUCCAGAAGGAAUAAAGGCCUGAAAUUGAAGUUUUUACGUCGAAAUCUUGGCUCGCCGGUUUUUGCAUUUCUUCGCCGGUUUCUGGAAGAUUUCCGGCCACCUUCAACUGUUCUAGCGGGUAGUCAUGCAGGUCAGGAGGAUCAUGGCAGAGAUCGUGCGGAUUGGAGUAUUUGUUUUAGUUUUACAGCCUUGUAAAUUGUGAGCCCUAGGAAUACAAGCCUUGUUCAGCUUGCGCCCGAUCUUCUUUUGUCUCUCUCGCGCUCCUCUCUCUCUCUCUCUCUCUCUCUCUCUCUCUCUCUCUCUCUCUCUCUCUCUCUCUCUCUCUCUCUCUCUCUCUCUCUCUCUCUCUCUCUCUCUCUCAAAUAUCGAUCAAAUCUCUUGAUCGAGAUUGAGCCAGACGCACCGCUUUCAUCAUUCAGUUGCGAUUGAGCUGGCAACUUUUUUUUAUCAAAUCAGAGGAUCCGAUUGAGCAAUCAGAUAUCUUUGACACUUUGACCUUCAGGUGUUCUCGGCUGUGCUCUGCGCAUCCGGAGGUCACUUGCUCUGUUCUUAGUCAUUCAACAGAGUCUUCAGAUCGCAGCCAGCCUCACUGUCUUGGGCUGACCACAGAGUGGAGCUACUUGAUGUUCAAGGGGAUUUAUUUUAUCACAUUGUGACGUUCAUAUAACAUACUUGGCUUGACCUCUGAUCUUGAAUUCAUUUGGAACUUCAAUUCAUAGUUAUUUAGAUUAUAGAGAAUCAGAUUUUCAAGCCAAUUACAUAGAUACAGAAUGCUAAAAACAACAGCUGAAAGUUGAUGGCUCUACUGUUGGACUGUCUCCUUGGAAAGGGCAUUUUGCUCUCCUUAGACAAGCAGAGUUAAAUACAUUGGUGGAUCUGCAUGUGAAUGAGGCAAUGACAACCGAAUUUGAGGCAGAAUCUCAGCCAAAAGAGGCUGAGGAAAGUGUGGUGAUUGAGCAGUCGGGAGUAGUUGAGGUUCCUGGACUAUGUUACAGAAACAUACCUGCUGUUGUUACAACUGCAAUUGGCGAAAUGUGCAGUUUGCGAUGGGCGAGGUUUUUGGUGCUGGGUUUGUUUUGGAUUACUUGCUUUUGGUCCAUAAAGCUUGGUGAUUAGUUUUCUGUAACUUUAUGUCAGAAAUUGAAAUUUAAUGACCUGUUUGUGCAAUAUCAUUGUUUAAAUUCUGCAUGUGUGUAUUCUUCUCUGGAAAGAAGAAUCCAGAUUGGUGAAUUAGUAGUUUAUAUCAAACCCAGAUCAGUAUCAAUGGGAAGAUUACUGUUUAGCUUCAAAGUUUGUAUGGAUUACAAAAAAUUACUACAAUUAGGCAUUA